AGUGCAAAUACUUGGCAAAAGAAGAUUUUUUUCAGGGCAUCAACCUAUCUUCUUAUCUACAGACACAUAAAAUAUGUAUGCUUUAUUUGCCUCUCUCUGUAAUGUUUGAGAUCCUAUUAACUUAUCCCUUUAAGUAUUCCUUCCUUUAUUGACAGGUAUGUUGUAUAGAUGGUAAAAAUAUGGAGGAUUGAUUCGUUCUGGAAAUGUGUAGAAAACAGAUUCUUAAUAAAGAACUCUGCACUUACAAAUAUUGCACAUAGUUUGUUUACAGAAUUUGGCAUACUUUCGAAGCAUGCUCUAAUUUGUUUGCUAAAUCGUAGUGGAAUACCAUAUGGUGUAAACAGCAGACGUAAACCUGAAAAAACAUAGAUACAUUUAAAUGCAGACGAUUCGUUUCCACAACUUCACCUUGUGCUCCAGCGUGAAUAUAUCACUGAUCGAUAUAUAUUCGAAAGUAAACAUUCAAGUUUUCAAAAUGGCAAGACAAGCUUCAUUGUUGUGUUUUUUUCUGCUUGCUGUUGCAACGUCUUGCUAUGCACAGCAAAUGCCAGGAGGAAUCGUGGAAAUGACAAAAGAUGAGAUUGAAAAAGAUGACAUUCUCCAAGAAGGAGUGACUUUUGCAGUGACAGAAUACAAUUUGAAAACCAACUCAAGACUCAUUGCUACCAAAAUUUUGCAAGCUACAAGGCAAGUCGUUGCUGGUAUUAAAUAUGCAGCUCUUGUUGAGAUGCGACCACGGCUUUGCGUGCACGAUCCCAGUCUCAAGAUUGCUCCAUGUCCACCAGAAUUAAACUACCCUACCAAAUGCAUUUUUGAAAUUCUACAUCAAGCCUGGAAGCCUUCAAAAUACGCUCUUCUGUCUACAAGAUGCUUGAGAGGAUAAUGUUCUUAAUCAAACAAUAUCUCUAAUCGUAGUUACUUGACAAUUGAAAUACAAAAAUAUCUCUAAUCGUAAUUACUUGACAAUUGAAAAAGAAUAAUACAAAGUAA